CUGUUAGUGGUCGAGUUUUUCUGGAAGUGGGCUUCCGCGAUCGCGGGGACCAACGCCCUGAGCUCUUGUGCCCAAAGGGGAUCGCCAGGUUUUUUGAUGCGGAUCGAAAGGGACUGGCCCCGGAGCCUACAACCUGACGCAGGUGGACAAGGUGGAGGAGAGAGAAUUCCUUGGCAGUAGCAUUAUGAACAAAUGCAGGGCUGAGAAACAGCAUGGUGGCCUUGACUAAGUUUAUGGCGACAGCAGAUGGAGUCUUGCUCUGUCGCCCAGGCUAGAGUGCAGUGGCGCGAUCUCAGCUCACUGAAACCUCUGCCUCCCGGGUUCAAGUGAUUCUCCUGCCUCCGCCACGCGAUGCCUCUUCAUGGGUGGUGGAUGAAGAAACUGAACAGGGCCAUGAUCCUUAUCUGUAAUUUCCCGGCUACCACACUGCUUUGGUGGUCUUCCCUCGUCUCUUCCUGGGUAGAAACAACUACCUGGAGAUCCCAAUGUUCUUGUCAGUGCACUUUUCAUGGACUGCAGUGCCUACUUCAUACUGGGUGGAAUUUUUAUGAUUAGCGCCCUUCUCUCAUUCUGCUUGAACUUUUUGUUGCUGACCUUCCCUCAGUUAUUCCCUGAGACCCAGAAACAGUAUAUUUUCUGUGCAUCCAUCUGCAUUGUCACAGGAGCCCUCUACCUUCGCAAUUCCCGGUGCUGUGGAGCUGUCAGAGUUUUAACAUCUCAACCAAGCCACAUGGAUACUAUUUCCUCAGAAAAGACAAAAUUGAUCCAAGCAGAAGAGUGAACUCACCGAAGAGGACUCUCUACCCAUAACUGGGGAUGCCUCAGCCACUCACACUUACUCCAAGAUUAGUGUCACUGAUUAUGGAAAGAAUUGACUUCUUCCCCUGGUCUUGCUCAUUUUUCUAGAGCCCAGGACAAUAAAUGUGUUUUACGGCAGAGAAAA
rnacentral:lncRNA from 10 species